AACGAACGCUGGCGGCAUGCCUAACACAUGCAAGUCGAACGAGUGCCUUCGGGUGCUAGUGGCGCACGGGUGCGUAACGCGUGGGAAUCUGCCCUUUGGUUCGGAAUAACAGUUGGAAACGACUGCUAAUACCGGAUGAUGACGAAAGUCCAAAGAUUUAUCGCCAGAGGAUGAGCCCGCGUAGGAUUAGCUAGUUGGUGUGGUAAAGGCGCACCAAGGCGACGAUCCUUAGCUGGUCUGAGAGGAUGAUCAGCCACACUGGGACUGAGACACGGCCCAGACUCCUACGGGAGGCAGCAGUGGGGAAUAUUGGACAAUGGGCGAAAGCCUGAUCCAGCAAUGCCGCGUGAGUGAUGAAGGCCUUAGGGUUGUAAAGCUCUUUUGCCCGGGAUGAUAAUGACAGUACCGGGAGAAUAAGCUCCGGCUAACUCCGUGCCAGCCGCCGCAGUAAGAC
rnacentral:rRNA from 1 species